AAUAAGAACCAAGUCAUCAACAAAGAUAAAUGUCUAUAUAAACAUGCAAAACAUAGAUUAAUAUUCCUAAAUAUACAUGCACCUCUACCUAAUUAUUGUUCCAUUCGGAAGCCAAUCUCAUCAACUGAGUAAUUCUGUAAAUAAGUUUUACAGAUCAUCUUUCAUGCAUCAUAAAAACACUUGAUUUAACCACAUAUCAUUUGCUAACAAAGUGUGCUUGUUGAAAAAGGGGGUUAAAACCAUGUAACUCUUUCCACAAAUCAAUUCCCAAAUCUAUGAUAACAAGAUUCUGACAGCCUUUGAUUAAGUACAUCUUAUGUUUUAAGAGACAUGUUGCAUCGUUUGUCUUAAGGGGGGAGCAUUUUUAAUUUAUUGCGACAACCGAUCUACUCCAUUCCGAUUAUAAGGAGAUAAAGAUAACAGAACGCACCACAACAAGGAGAUUAAAUAGACUACGGUAAUGUGGUCAAGCCGAUGCCAAAAAGAGUUUGGUUAUCAUAGGGAGAUCUAGCAAGUAAAAUGGUGCAUAAUACACAAAGGGACUUGUAUGGCCAUGAAGAAGAUAGGAACUUCUAUGUAGCAUUCUCAAAAUAUGAAUAACCAUCAUUGGUUAUAGCAACAGCAACCCAUCAUUGGUUAUAGCAACAGUAAAAUGGUGCGUAACACACAAAGUGCAUCAGCAGGAUCUAACCUUGAUGAUUCUCCAUGUCUGUCUGCACUGCAUGACUGCUACAUACCCCAGGAUUUGGCUAUGACCGAGGUUGAGAUCUAUUCUUUUGUGCCUGCUGAUACUUUAUGAUUGUCCAAUCAAACACAUAAUCAAAUUCAUAUCCUGUCAUGAAAGGACAGGAAAAUGAAGACACCAAUUCAGAUACAUCAGAUGAAGCAUUUAAAUGUAAUUUUCAUCCCUCAAGUUCAGAAGACCAUAGAGAGAGUAUAGCACCACCACUACCAUCACCCCAACUUUUUUUCUUCUCUUAUAGUUGUGGUAUAAAGACUAGAUCGAUUUGUGAUUUGAUUUUUAGUUUUUUUUUUUCCUUUGCAAAGAUUGUUUUCCAAUGCACAGGACCACACUAAUAACUAUGAAAAUACCUGAUUAGAUCUCUAAGCUCAUGACUUGUUACUGCUGUUGGUUAAACAUGGAGUAAAAACAAAAUG